UUGGUGUUUAUCAUAGCAAUAGAAAGCAAACUAGAAUACCACUGCAUGCUAGAUGACAUGGGUCCUAUAUUCAGAUUCUACCAAUGAACAUGUACUGCAGACCAGGGAUGCAGAGUGAUCAGUGAAUAGAGACUGCCUUCCAGGGAUGUUGUACUGCCACCAUAUGGACACCACUGACCAGAGAUACUGGAUCAUCCAUCCAAGGACCCCAAUUAGCAGGGUCUACGUGUGAGCGUUUUGCUCUCAUGGAUGUCUGUGCAUGGCAUGCAUGCCUGGUGCACCCAGAAGCCAGAAGAAGGCAUUGGAUCCCCUGGAACUGGAGUUGCAGAUGCCUGUGAGACAGCAGGGGGGUGUUGGGAACUGAACCCCUGCUCUCAGGUACAACAGCCAGUGCUCUUAACUGCUGACUCGUCCCGUCGCUCCAGCCCCCGCGAGAAUCCUUACGUCUGGGUCAGCCACCUCUAGAUCACCCCACCAGCACACUCUGCUUCUGGUGACCUCUAACAAGGAAUGGAUCCAUUCGCUGGGCUGACUUCUCAGAAGGGAGACCAAACUCCCAAUGAAGUUCUGGAAAAUUUCUAUCACACAAGUCUGCAGGAAUCAGCCCGCGUAUCAGUGACAGCCUGACAGCCUGGAAAGUCACCAGAGCCACCGCAAUAGCCCAGCCUGCAGAGCAGAUGGAGCCUGAAGCGCUCACCCUAGAACCAUCGUCCAAAGCAACUGCGCACACAGUAGCCAAGACUUCAGAUGUUGGGCUCUGCUCCAGUUUUCAACGCCUGUUACCCUGGAGGUUGAGCAACACCAUGCCCAUAAACAGAGAAACAUGUGUGCUGUGACUUGCCAAUCCGGGCCGUGUGGGAGCGCUCCUUCUGAAGUGUGGUCCACUUCCCAUGGGCCUGCAACGGGAGGUCAAGUUCCGUUCUGCCGU
rnacentral:lncRNA from 1 species